ensembl:antisense 9530034A14Rik RIKEN cDNA 9530034A14 gene
AGCAUUGCCAGGCAGUUCUGGCAAUGAUCAGGAGGCUAUGCCUGGAAUGUCCUCUGAGCAGAUGCCGGUAGUCACACUUGUGUUAUGGGAAACACGAGAAAGGAAUGGGUCACUCAUGCUGUCCCAAACUUGCCUGGCAGCGCGGCCAACAAUGAGUCUCUGGGUAAUCAAUCAAAGGUGAUAAUACAAAUCGGUGACCUUUUACGUGUUUGUUUCAAGUCUCAAGAUAAAUAAGAAAAGAAGGGGAGAAGAUACGGAGGGAGGAAGAUAUCCUCACGAGACUUCCUUUUUCACCAGGCACUGACAAGUCUCUGCACUCCUCUCAUAACUGUACUGUGGACUUCUAUAGUAGCACUUGAGUGGUCCUGUGACACCUCGGAGCCCAAGGGUAGGACAGUGCCUUUAAAACACAGUGCAGAGAAGCCCGGAAAGCUCCCUUGAAAAGUGAAGACAUCGUUUGCCACGAGGAGAUAAUAGCCAGCCACAUGAUCCUUUCUUUCUUGUAUUACUAUCAUGCCUUGUAUGUCUUAAUCUUAUGCUAAAGAAAAAAAAAAAACAAACCAGGAGCCAAUCAUAAGUGAGGCUGCACUCAAAUGCACAAUAUCUUGUCUCAAUGAGAAAUACUGCACACAAAGUAAAUACUUCAUUGUUCUUAGAAAUGUUUCCUGGUAAUAAUCUCAAGUGUUUGCUAGAGGGAAAAUGAUAAUUUCUGGUUGCAUCCUUUGUUUACAUGUGGCCCACAUAUAAAAAUCAAAUAAAUUCAUUAUGUUCGCAACCAGUACAAAAGAAGAAACAAACAAACAAACAAACAAACAAACAAAAAACAAUCAGUGACCCGUGGUAGCACUACCUGCCUGCUAACUUGAAUUGGUUUUUGGAUUUGAAACUAAGAUACAGAGAAAUCAUAUUUGUGUUCAUUGCUUUUUUGUUAAUGACAAAAGAUUAAUAAAACAGGGUGCACAUAAGACAGACACAAGAAAGCUGCCACAUCCUAGAACAACUAUAACAUGGCAGAGCAGGAAGAGACACUACAGCCGGCGGCCCAUUCACGCCCACUGUCUGUUUUUAUAAAUAAAGUUUCACGGG